rnacentral:rRNA from 1 species
GAUGAACGCUGGCGGCGUGCCUAAUACAUGCAAGUCGAGCGAACAGACGAGGAGCUUGCUCCUCUGACGUUAGCGGCGGACGGGUGAGUAACACGUGGAUAACCUACCUAUAAUACUGGGAUAACUUCGGGAAACCGGAGCUAAUACCGGAUAAUAUAUUGAACCGCAUGGUUCAAUAGUGAAAGACGGUUUUGCUGUCACUUAUAGAUGGAUCCGCGCCGCAUUAGCUAGUUGGUAAGGUAACGGCUUACCAAGGCAACGAUGCGUAGCCGACCUGAGAGGGUGAUCGGCCACACUGGAACUUAGCCACGGUCCAGACUACUACGGGAGGCAGCAGUAGGGAAUCUUCCGCAAUGGGCGAAAGCCUGACGGAGCAACGCCGCGUGAGUGAUGAAGGUCUUCGGAUCGUAAAACUCUGUUAUUAGGGAAGAACAAAUGUGUAAGUAACUAUGCACGUCUUGACGGUACCUAAUCAGAAAGCCACGGCUAACUACGUG